rnacentral:tRNA from 1 species
GCAUCGGUGAUUCAGUGGUAGAAUUCUCGCCUGCCACGCGGGCGGCCCGGGUUCGUUUCUCAGCCGAUGCA